UCACUGCAAGCUCCGCCUCCCGGGUUCGGGCCAUUCUCCUGCCUCAGCCUCCUGAGUAGCUGGGACUACAGGCGCCCGCCACCACGCCCGGCUAAUUUUUUGUAUUUUUAGUAGAGAUGGGGUUUUACCGUGUUAGCCAGGAUGGUCUCGAUCUCCUGACCUUGUGAUCCACCCACCUCGGCCUCCCAAGGUGCUGGGAUUACAGGCGUGAGCCACUGCGCCAGGCCA
rnacentral:lncRNA from 1 species